AAUCAUCACUGCCCUUAUGUUCUGGGCUACACACGUGCUACAAUGGCCGGUACAGACGGAGGCGAAGUCGCGAGGCGGAGCAAAUCCGAAAAAGACCGGUCUCAGUUCGGAUUGCAGGCUGCAAUUCGCCUGCAUGAAGUCGGAAUCGCUAGUAAUCGCAGGUCAGCAUACUGCGGUGAAUACGUUCCCGGGCCUU
rnacentral:rRNA from 1 species